AUCAACAGUUAAAAACGACUUCCAGGGUGACAAGCAGAUGCCAAACGUAAAAAAGUAACAAGAUCUGCUGAAGGAUGAAGACCUGAACUUUUAUCCUUUAAUUACAACCUGCAGCCGUUAGGCUAACUUGCAAAAAACAACGAAGCAACCAAAUAUCUAUUUGUAUUUCAGAGGCAAACUAUGUCAAGUCCACACUUCAGAAAAUUAAUCUUUUUAAAUAGAACAUUAUAUAUUUCUAUCCAUACUAAAACAGCAUUUAUUUAGACUACAAGGUUCCAUUAAAAAAAAUUAAUUUUAUUCCUUUAGCAAACAUAAGAGUUAUUUCACAUCACAAAUAAUAAUAUACAGGUUGAGUUCUGUUUUUGCUUUUUAAAUUCAGGCCUUGAUACCACAAAACAGAUUAAAAUUAAUUAAAUAAUUCGUAAGAGGACAAAUUGAAAAACAUGUUCGAGGAGCUCUGAACGGAAAUGGUCGGAGUUACGAUGAAACGAAGGACCACGAGGAACAGGACCAUUAGAAUAGCAUUCGGAAACGAAAAAACGCAAGCAAGGGAUGAACAAACGCAAAAAGAAACCGAAGGAUUGUGUGAAAAAGCAAUUUUAUAAAAAAUAAUUACCGAACGAAAUUUGAAUAACGCGGACCAAAUUUAACAAACUUUACUAUGUAAUCGAUAAAUAAGCCUAAGGAAAAAAAAAUUCUGAACAUUUGUUUUUCGCAUACGCAUAAAAAAACAAUUUGUACUUAAGUAUACAAUACGAGUGCAAAACAUAAAUGAAAUGAGUGCAUGCAAAAUGUGGAUUAAUUAACAAACAAACAAAAUCGCUUCAACUUUCGUUUCGUCAGUCUACUGCGCAAAAAACAUAUAACAAUACAAUUGUUCUAAAGUAACAACGGAUGCAGAUUAUUAUAAGUAACUUGAAGUUCAAGUUUUUUUUUUUUUUUUUAUAUUACGUUUGUAACAUUAGUAAAGCGUGCAACACGGGGAAAUAUAAAAAUGUCUUACGUAAGUAAUCGCAUCAUACAUCAAUUUAUAUAAAUACACAAGUUUGUAACGGCUACAUAGUUCAAUCAUUUCGCAUUACAUACUAUUGAGAAUUUCCUCGGGCGAUAAGGAUGUACACGUGUCACUUUGUUGCAAAAUGAAAUUAAACGAAACGAAAGUAAUAACUUUGACUCGAUUGGUGUCGAUCAAGAUACCAAGGAACAAACAACUAUUUUUUUGUAAAGUAAUAUCAUUAACACUAUCGUUAAGAGUAAGGCUCAAAGGAAGAUUAUCCCGUUGCGACAGAUGGUAUUAAAAAUACGGUAAUCGCUAUACUUCGAUCGUGGCAAGUGCUUAAAAGUGUGAUCGACGUAAAUGUCUCCGCAUACUUAAAAAAAAAAAAAAGAGGUCGACUACGCACAGUGUUUAAAUUAUUAAAUAAUACGAAACAAGCGCAACUGAAGGUACACAUCUAUUAGAUAUGUAUAUUUAUCUUAAUACAAACGAUUCUACUUUCAAGCAUCAGUAUCUAACACAAGUAAGAAAAUGUGCAGCCUCUUGUAUCGUACACUAGUUUUAAAAAUAAUAAUAAUAAUAAAAAGAA